UACGUAGGGCGCAAGCGUUAUCCGGAAUUAUUGGGCGUAAAGAGCUCGUAGGCGGUUUGUCGCGUCUGCCGUGAAAGUCCGGGGCUCAACUCCGGAUCUGCGGUGGGUACGGGCAGACUAGAUGUGAUGCAGGGGAGACUGGAAUUCCUGGUGUAGCGGUGAAAUGCGCAGAUAUCAGGAGGAACACCGAUGGCGAAGGCAGGUCUCUGGGCAUUAACUGACGCUGAGGAGCGAAAGCAUGGGGAGCGAACAGG
rnacentral:rRNA from 1 species